AUAGUGUUGUAUCUUGCCUACAUUACAAUAUUUGAAAAAAAGUAUCUGCAGAUGAUGGAAAAUUAGUUCAGAUUCAAAGUGGAAUAUUUAACUAUACAUGCCUUCUUAUAGCAAGUCAGAGUUCCCUUCACAUCAAUCAAAGUUUUAAUCUAAUAAAUCUCUCUAUCUUUUCCAGUAGCUUUGUAAUAACCUGCAGCAGUUGUCCAAUUUGUCCUCAGCCCUGUUGGGAGCAUUCUUGUCUCUUAUACAUGGAAAAUACCAUUCUUUUUAAUUACCCUAUUUUUGAGUUCCCUACAUUCCAACCCAAUAACGGCCAAGAAAAAAUCAUGCCACAACUAAUACUAAUUAAAUUGAGGUCAAUUACAUAAAUAUUCA
rnacentral:misc_RNA from 1 species